rnacentral:rRNA from 1 species
UACGGGGGGGGGCAAGCGUUGUUCGGAAUUACUGGGCGUAAAGGGCUCGUAGGUGGCCAACUAAGUCAGACGUGAAAUCCCUCGGCUUAACCGGGGAACUGCCUUGGAAACUGUCUGGCUUGAGGCCGGGAGAGGGUAGUGGAAUUCCCAGUGUAGCGGUGAAAUGCGUAGAUACUGGGAGGAACACCGGUGGCGAAGGCGGCUACCUGGACCGGUUCUGACGCUGAGGCGCGAAAGCGUGGGUAGCAAACGGG